rnacentral:rRNA from 1 species
GACGAACGCUGGCGGCGUGCCUAAUACAUGCAAGUCGAGCGCAGGAAGCCGUCUGAACCCUUCGGGGGGGACGACGGUGGAAUGAGCGGCGGACGGGUGAGUAACACGUAAAGAACCUGCCCAUAGGUCUGGGAUAACCACGAGAAAUCGGGGCUAAUACCGGAUGUGUCAUCGGACCGCAUGGUCCGCUGAUGAAAGGCGCUCCGGCGUCGCCCAUGGAUGGCUUUGCGGUGCUUUAGCUAGUUGGUGGGGUAACGGCCCACCAAGGCGACGAUGCAUAGCCGACCUGAGAGGGUGAUCGGCCACACUGGGACUGAGACACGGCCCAGACUCCUACGGGAGGCAGCAGUAGGGAAUCUUCCACAAUGGACGAAAGUCUGAUGGAGCAACGCCGCGUGAACGAUGAAGGCUUUCGGGUCGUAAAGUUCUGUUGUAAGGGAAGAACAAGUGCCGCAGGCAAUGGCGGCACCUUGACGGUACCUUGCGAGAAAGCCACGGCUAACUACGUGCCAGCCGCCGCCGUAA